rnacentral:rRNA from 1 species
UCGAGAAUUUUUCACAAUGGGCGAAAGCCUGAUGGAGCGACGCCGCGUGGGGGAUGAAUGGCUUCGGCCCGUAAACCCCUGUCAUUUGCGAACAAACCUUGCUAUUUAAAAGAUGGCUAGCUGAUUGUAGCGAAAGAGGAAGGGACGGCUAACUCUGUGCCAGCAGCCGCGGUAAUACAGAGGUCCCAAGCGUUGUUCGGAUUCACUGGGCGUAAAGGGUGCGUAGGUGGUGAGGUAAGUCGGAUGUGAAAGCUCCGAGCUCAACUCGGAAAUGGCAUUGGAAACUACCUUGCUCGAGGGUUUGAGGGGGACUGGAAUACUUGGUGUAGCAGUGAAAUGCGUAGAUAUCAAGUAGAACACCAGUGGCGAAGGCGAGUCCCUGGAAAAACUCCUGACACUGAGGCACGAAAGCUAGGGGAGCAAACAGGAUUAGAUACCCUGGUAGUCCUAGCCGUAAACGGUGCGUAUUUG